GUGGGGAAUAUUGGACAAUGGGCGCAAGCCUGAUCCAGCCAUACCGCGUGGGUGAAGAAGGCCUUCGGGUUGUAAAGCCCUUUUGUUGGGAAAGAAAUCCUGUCGGUUAAUACCUGGCGGGGAUGACGGUACCCAAAGAAUAAGCACCGGCUAACUUCGUGCCAGCAGCCGCGGUAAUACGAAGGGUGCAAGCGUUACUCGGAAUUACUGGGCGUAAAGCGUGCGUAGGUGGUGGUUUAAGUCCGUUGUGAAAGCCCUGGGCUCAACCUGGGAAUUGCAGUGGAUGCUGGAUCACUAGAGUGUGGUAGAGGAAUGCGGAAUUGCUGGUGUAGCAGUGAAAUGCGUAGAGAUCAGAAGGAACAUCCGUGGCGAAGGCGGCAUCCUUGGCCAACACUGACACUGAGGCACGAAAGCGUGGGGAGCAAACAGGAUUAGAAACCCGAGUAGUCC
rnacentral:rRNA from 1 species